rnacentral:rRNA from 1 species
GCCUAUACAUGCAAGUCGAACGAACUCUGGUAUUGAUUGGUGCUUGCAUCAUGAUUUACAUUUGAGUGAGUGGCGAACUGGUGAGUAACACGUGGGAAACCUGCCCAGAAGCGGGGGAUAACACCUGGAAACAGAUGCUAAUACCGCAUAACAACUUGGACCGCAUGGUCCGAGCUUGAAAGAUGGCUUCGGCUAUCACUUUUGGAUGGUCCCGCGGCGUAUUAGCUAGAUGGUGAGGUAACGGCUCACCAUGGCAAUGAUACGUAGCCGACCUGAGAGGGUAAUCGGCCACAUUGGGACUGAGACACGGCCCAAACUCCUACGGGAGGCAGCAGUAGGGAAUCUUCCACAAUGGACGAAAGUCUGAUGGAGCAACGCCGCGUGAGUGAAGAAGGGUUUCGGCUCGUAAAACUCUGUUGUUAAAGAAGAACAUAUCUGAGAGUAACUGUUCAGGUAUUGACGGUAUUUAACCAGAAAGCCACGGCUAACUACGUGCCAGCAGCCGCGGUAAUACGUAGGUGGCAAGCGUUGUCCGGAUUUAUUGGGCGUAAAGCGAGCGCAGGCGGUUUUUUAAGUCUGAUGUGAAAGCCUUCGGCUCAACCGAAGAAGUGCAUCGGAAACUGGGAAACUUGAGUGCAGAAGAGGACAGUGGAACUCCAUGUGUAGCGGUGAAAUGCGUAGAUAUAUGGAAGAACACCAGUGGCGAAGGCGGCUGUCUGGUCUGUAACUGACGCUGAGGCUCGAAAGUAUGGGUAGCAAACAGGAUUAGAUACCCUGGUAGUCCAUACCGUAAACGAUGAAUGCUAAGUGUUGGAGGGUUUCCGCCCUUCAGUGCUGCAGCUAACGCAUUAAGCAUUCCGCCUGGGGAGUACGGCCGCAAGGCUGAAACUCAAAGGAAUUGACGGGGGCCCGCACAAGCGGUGGAGCAUGUGGUUUAAUUCGAAGCUACGCGAAGAACCUUACCAGGUCUUGACAUACUAUGCAAAUCUAAGAGAUUAGACGUUCCCUUCGGGGACAUGGAUACAGGUGGUGCAUGGUUGUCGUCAGCUCGUGUCGUGAGAUGUUGGGUUAAGUCCCGCAACGAGCGCAACCCUUAUUAUCAGUUGCCAGCAUUAAGUUGGGCACUCUGGUGAGACUGCCGGUGACAAACCGGAGGAAGGUGGGGAUGACGUCAAAUCAUCAUGCCCCUUAUGACCUGGGCUACACACGUGCUACAAUGGAUGGUACAACGAGUUGCGAACUCGCGAGAGUAAGCUAAUCUCUUAAAGCCAUUCUCAGUUCGGAUUGUAGGCUGCAACUCGCCUACAUGAAGUCGGAAUCGCUAGUAAUCGCGGAUCAGCAGCCUCG